rnacentral:rRNA from 1 species
UACAGAAGGGUGCAAACGUUGCUCGGAAUUAUUGGGCGUAAAGCGCACGUAGGCGGCAUCGCAAGUCGGAUGUGAAAUCUUAUGGCUUAACCAUAAAAGUGCAUCCGAAACUGCAGUGCUUGAGUACUUAAGAGGAUCGCGGAAUUCCCGGUGUAGAGGUGAAAUUCGUAGAUAUCGGGAGGAACACCAGUGGCGAAGGCGGCGAUCUGGGAAGAUACUGACGCUGAGGUGCGAAAGCGUGGGGAGCAAACAGG